rnacentral:misc_RNA from 1 species
CGCACCUUGCGCCCUUUGGUAUUCCGAAGGGCAUGCCUGUUUGAGUGUCAUUAAAUUCUCAACCUUGAAAGCUUUGUUGCUUUCAAGGCUUGGAUGUGAGGGUUUUUGCUGGCUUCCUUCAUUGGCGGUCUGCUCCCUUUAAAUGCAUUAGUGGGUUUCAGUUUUGUGAAGACCUUCACUUGGUGUGAUAAUUGUCAUCGCCGUUUGAAUGGACUAGUAGCAGACAUUUAUUGAAGCUUGCUUAUAACCGUCCGUAAACAGUUGCACUUUGUCAAGUCUCGAGUUAGAAGGGUUUGCGAUUUAGCUCCCUUUGAAUCAGUUCGAACUUGCAGAGACCGCAAUGGACAAUUUCUUGACCAAUUUGACCUCAAAUCAGGUAGGACUACCCGCUGAACUUAA